GAUCAUGGCUCAGGAUGAACGCUAGCGACAGGCUUAACACAUGCAAGUCGAGGGGCAUCAUGAGGUAGCAAUACCUUGAUGGCGACCGGCGCACGGGUGAGUAACGCAUAUGCAACCUGCCUGAUACCGGGGUAUAGCCCAUGGAAACGUGGAUUAACACCCCAUAGUACCUUUAUCCUGCAUGGGAUGUGAGUUAAAUGUUUAAGGUAUCGGAUGGGCAUGCGU
rnacentral:rRNA from 1 species